UGGGGAAUCUUGGACAAUGGGGGCAACCCUGAUCCAGCCAUGCCGCGUGGGUGAUGAAGGCCUUAGGGUCGUAAGCCCUUUCGCUGGGGAAGAUAAUGACGGUACCCCAGUAAAGAAGCCCCCGGCUAACUCCGUGCCAGCAGCCGCGGUAAUACGGAGGGGGCUAGCGUUGUUCGGAAUGACUGGGCGUAAAGCGCGCGUAGGCGGGCUGGAAAGUCAGGGGUGAAAUCCCGGGGCUCAACCCUGGGAAUGGCCUUUGAAACUCCCCAGCCUUGAGUUCGAGAGAGGUGAGUGGAAUUCCGAGUGUAGAGGUGAAAUUCGUAGAUAUUCGGAGGAACACCAGUGGCGAAGGCGGCUCACUGGCUCGACACCGACGCUGAGGUGCGAAAGCGU
rnacentral:rRNA from 1 species